GUGCCUGGAGGGGACUCGCCGCCAUCUCAGGUCUCUUGGCUUUGCCAGGGCCCACCGGAGAAAACUGACGACCCGUUUCUGUAAUCCUUAUGGGAGACCAACCUUGUGCCUCCGGGAGAUCCACUCUCCCACCUGGAAACGCACGGGAAGCCAAGCCUCCAAAAAAGCGCUGCCUCCUCGCUCCGCGUUGGGAUUAUCCGGAAGGAACUCCCAACGGAGGUAGUACCACUCUACCCUCCGCACCUCCUCCUGCAUCAGCCGGCCUGAAGUCGCACCCUCCUCCUCCGGAGAAGUAGAGAAAUAAAUUUCUCCCACCCUAAACCAGUCUUUGAGUGAUUGCAGUAUGACUCCAUUUCCCUGGUGCAUUCAUAUAAUAGUUCACCUGGUGAAAACAAUGAAGAUUAUUUACAAUGCUACCCUGCUUUUUCUGGUGUCCUGAACCUGGAAGUUGUGCUUUUUAAGAGACUAGGAUUGCAACCCCUGCUUUUUUUGGCUUUCCAUUUGCUUGGUAAGUAUUCCUCCAUCUCUUUUGUUGAGCCUGUGUGUGUCUUUGCAUGUGGGAUGGGUCUCCUGAAUACAGCACACCAAUGGGUCCUAACUCUUUAUCCAAUUUGCCAGUCUGUGCUUUUAAUUGGGGCAUUUAGCCCAUUUACAUUUAAGGUUAAUAUUGUUAUGUGUGCAUUUAAUCCUGUCGUUAUGAUGCUAGCUGGUUUUUUUGCCUGUUAGUUGAUGCAGUUUCUUCAUCAUGUUGACAGUCUUUACAAUUUAGUAUGUUUUUGCAGUGGCUGGUACUGGUUGAUCCUUCCAUGUUUAGUGCUUCCUUCAGGAGCUCUUGUAAGGCAGGCCUGGUGGUGACAAAACCUCUCAGCAUUUGCUUGUCUGUAAAGGAUUUUAUUUCUCCUUUGCCUAUGAAACUUAGUUUGGCUGAAUAUGAAAUUCUGGGUUGAAGAUUCUUUUCUUUAAGAAUGUUGAAUAUUGGCCCCCACUCUUUUCUGGCUUGUAGGGUUUCUCCCGAGAGACCUGCUGUUAGUCUGAUUGGCUUCCCUUGUAACCCAACCUUUCUCUCUGUCUGCCCUUAAUAUUUUUUCCUUCAUUUCAACCUUGGUGAAUCUGACAAUUAUGUGUCUUGGGGUUGCUCUUCUCGAGGAGUAUGUUUGUGGUGUUUUCUGUAUUUCCUGAAUUUCAAUGUUGGCCUGCCUUGCUAGAUUGGGGAAGUUCUCCUGGAUAAUAUCAUGAAGAGUCUUUUCCAACUUGGUUCCAUUCUCCCUGUCACUUUCACGUACACCAAUCAAAUGUAGUUUUGGUCUUUCCACAUAGUCCCAUAUUUCUUGGAGGUUUUGCUCAUUUCUUGUUACUCUUUUUUCUCUAAUCUUGUCUUCUUGCUUUAUUUUAUUGAGUUGAUCUUCAAUCUCUGAUAUCCUUUCUUCUGCUUGAUCCAUUCAGCUAUUGAUACCUGUGUAUGCUUCACGAAGUUCUUGUGCUGUGUUUUUCAGCUCCAUCAGGUCAUUUAUCUUCCUCUCUAAACUGGUUAUUCUAGUUAGCAAUUCAUCUAACCUUUUUUCAAGGUUCUUAGCUUCCUUGCAUUGGGUUAGAACAUGUUCCUUUAGCUUGGAGGAGUUUGUUAUUACUCACCUUUUCAAGGCUACUUCUGUUAAUUUUUCCAACUCAUUCUCUGUCCAGUUUUGUUCCUUUGCUGGUGAGGAGUUAUGAUCCUUUGGAGGAGAAAAAGUGUUCGGUUUUUGGAAUUUUCAACCUUUUUGUGCUGGUUUCUCCCCAUCUUCAUGGAUUUAUCUACCUUUGGUCUUUGAAGUUGGUGACCAUCAGCUGAGGUCUCUGAUUGGAUGUUCUUUCUGUUGAUGUUGAUACUAUUCCUUUCUGUUUGUUAGUUUUUCUUCUAACAGUCUGGCUCCUCUGCUGCAGGUCUGCUGGAGUUUUGCUGGAGGUCCACUCCAGACCCUGUUUGCCUGGGUAUCACUAGCGGAGGCUGCAGACCAGCAAAGAUUGCUGCCUGUUCUUUCCUCUGGAACCUUUGUCCCAGAGAGACACCUGCCAGAUGCCAGCCAGAGCUCUUCUGUAUGAGGUAUCUGUCAGUUCCUACUGGGAGGUGUCUCCCAGUCAGGAUACAUGAGUGUCAGGGAUUCACUUGAGGAGGCAGUCUGUCCCUUAUCAGAGCUCAAACGCUGUGGUGGGAGAUCUGCUGCUCUAUUCAGAGGUACCAGGCAGGGACGUUUAAAUCUGCUGAAGCUGCACCCCCAACUGUUCCUUCCCCCAGGUGCUCUGUCACAAGGAGGUGGGGGUUUUAUCUAUAAGUCCCUGACUGGAACUGCUGCCUUUUUUUCAGAGAUGCCCUGUGCAGAG
rnacentral:lncRNA from 10 species